rnacentral:tmRNA from 1 species
GGGGGUGCUCUGGUUUCGACAGGGCUGCUGAAGCGUGAGUUGCGUGCCGAGGGUCUGGCUGGCCUCGUAAAAAAGCCGGAAAACAAUAAGUGCUAACGAAGAUUACGCACUCGCUGCUUAAUUUAUAGCAACGCUGGAACUGAAUCCUCUCCCACGGGGUUGAGAUCUCCAGUCGCAAUGUGGGAUAGGACGGCAUCAUGCUCUGGGGCGUUGUCCGAAAUUUUACAGAGCUGGCUGGAACCUGCGCCGACCUUCUAGGGCGUAGGGACCGGCGAGAUCUUAAAUACGAAGGGAACGCACGUAGGAAUGAACGGGGACGUGGUUUUGGACAGGAGUUCGACUCUCCUCACCUCCAUC